UAUCUGCAUCUCUGUGUCUACGUGUGUGUGCAUGUGCAUGUGUGUGUAUCUGUAUGUGAGUGUGUGCACAUGUGCAUGUGUGUAUCUGUGUAUGUGAGUAUAUGUAU
rnacentral:miRNA from 1 species